CUCUCAUUGUCUCACUUACUUUUCAUCGACUCCUGUUGAACUUUCGUCCCAUAAAACCCUCUCGGUUGAAUCUGUUAUAGAUUUUUAAUUAUGGUUUUGGUGUAUAUCUAGUAAUGCCCAAGGGUUUUACCUUUACUUUCUCAAUCCAAUUCGGACAACACGCUACUUCCGAUCUAGCAUGCCCAAGCCCAAAAUUAAUGAUGCCCAAUAUUGAUUUAGCAGGUGACAUGGCGGUGAAUUUCGUUUUGGCAGCCAUGUUUAUGAAUGAGAAGCAACCUUGUGAGGAAAUUAUUUACCAUUUCGGAUCCUCUCUUGGGAAUCCUAUAAGAAUUGCUACUCUUCACGAUUAUACCCAUCAAUACUUCAAAAAGAAUCUAUGGAUAGGUGACAACGGAAAACUGGUAAUUAAGAGUUGGCAAAAUUACAGUCCUUACUGACAUGGCUAGCCAUCAGAAAUAUGUUGCAAGACGUUACCUGGUACCACGAGAGUACUGUUGUACAAACAAUGUCCAGCAGGUAAAUCUAUGUUGCUAUUAUUGAAAUUGCUGAAUGCAAUACUUUGUCGAAGUCUCCAAGGCACAUAUAACAAACUCUUAUCAAAAGUUCAACGCCGGGAAGCAACUAGCUAGUACAACUUUUCUUACCAUACCUCUUCUUCAAGGGGAUUUUUGAUGAUGUUAACGCUGAAAAAUUGCGGACGACAGCAGGAAAGGAUGGUUUAGAGGACGAAGGGUUUUGUUGCAACCCAGAGUGCAUUGAUUGGGAAGACUACAUAAUGCACGCGCAUUUACCUGGGGUCGUCAAAUACAUAUUCUAAUCACAAUUAAAUUACAAGGCUUUAUGUUUUUCCAAAUUUAUAGAUGGGUUUGUGACACAACUCAACUAGAUGGGUGGUGUGAAGAACUACACUUAAAACGCAUCCUAUAAGAAUAGUAGUCUAUGGUAUUUGUUGUUCAAUAAACUAUAAUUUGGACAAGCCAAUAUAAUAAUCUUUUAGAGGUUGGUAAUUAGAGGUGAAUAUUGUUUUUGCCUUUAAAACAUUAUUAGUAGAGACAAAAAGUAAUAAAUGCUUCUAAAUGUAAUAACUUUCAUUUCAUGGGUAUAAUAGAUCUAUGGUAAAUCCGGAGAUCUGUUGCUAUGUCGGAAAGAUUGUGUUGAUUUGUAAGUC